rnacentral:rRNA from 1 species
UCGUCGUGCUUGACAAAGGCCCCAAAGGAAGCCAUGGCUAACUCCGUGCCCGCAGCCGCGGUAAUACGGAGAUGGCGAGCGUUGUUCGGAAUCACUGGGCGUAAAGCGCGCGUAGGCGGCCGGGCAAGUUGGAUGUGGAAGCGCCGGGCUCAACUCGGCAAUGGCGUCCAAUACUGCUCGGCUGGAGGACGGUAGGGGAGAGUGGAAC